GACGAACGCUGGCGGCGUGCUUAACACAUGCAAGUCGAACGGAAAGGCCCUGCUUUUGUGGGGUGCUCGAGUGGCGAACGGGUGAGUAACACGUGAGUAACCUGCCCUUGACUUUGGGAUAACUUCAGGAAACUGGGGCUAAUACCGGAUAGGAGCUCCUGCUGCAUGGUGGGGGUUGGAAAGUUUCGGCGGUUGGGGAUGGACUCGCGGCUUAUCAGCUUGUUGGUGGGGUAGUGGCUUACCACGGCUUUGACGGGUAGCCGGCCUGAGAGGGUGACCGGCCACAUUGGGACUGCGAUACGGCCCAGACUCCUACGGGAGGCAGCAGUGGGGAAUAUUGCACAAUGGGCGGAAGCCUGAUGCAGCAACGCCGCGUGCGUGAUGACGGCCUUCGGGUUGUAAACCGCUUUCGCCUGUGACGAAGCGUGAGUGACGGUAAUGGGUAAAGAAGCACCGGCUAACUACGUG
rnacentral:rRNA from 1 species